CAGCCGCCACGGUAAUACAGAGGGUGCGAGCGUUAAUCGGAUUUACUGGGCGUAAAGCGUGCGUAGGCGGCUUCUUAAGUCGGAUGUGAAAUCCCUGAGCCUAACUUAGGAAUUGCAUUCGAUACUGGGAAGCUAGAGUAUGGGAGAGGAUGGUAGAAUUCCAGGUGUAGCGGUGAAAUGCGUAGAGAUCUGGAGGAAUACCGAUGGCGAAGGCAGCCAUCUGGCCUAAUACUGACGCUGAGGUACGAAAGCAUGGGGAGCAAACAGGAUUAGAUACCCCAGUAGUCCCUGUCUCUUAUAA
rnacentral:rRNA from 1 species